UACGUAGGGUGCAAGCGUUGUCCGGAAUUAUUGGGCGUAAAGAGCUCGUAGGCGGUGUGUCGCGUCGGCCGUGAAAACUUGCAGCUUAACUGUGGGCGUGCGGUCGAUACGGGCAUCACUGGAGUUCGGCAGGGGAGACUGGAAUUCCUGGUGUAGCGGUGAAAUGCGCAGAUAUCAGGAGGAACACCGGUGGCGAAGGCGGUUCUCUGGGAAUGUCCUGACGCUGAGGAGCGAAAGUGUGGGGAGCGAACAGG
rnacentral:rRNA from 1 species